GAAACCGUACUAAAACCGACACAGGUAGGCAAGUAGAGUAUACUAAAGUGAUAGAGAGAACAAUUUUGAAGGAACUCGGCAAAAUGAUCCUGUAACUUAGGGAGAAAGGAUACUUAACAAAUGUAAAUUUAUUAAGUGGCACAGAAUAGGGGGUAGCGACUGUUUAUUAAAAACACAGGACUUUGCUAAGUUGAAAAAUGAUGUAUAAGGUCUGACAUCUGCCCGGUGGUAAAAGGUUAAAAGGAAAGGUGAAAGCUUUGAAUUGAAGCCUUACUAAACGGCGGCCGUAACCUUAACGGUCCUAAGGUAGCGAAAUUCCUUGUCGAUUAAUUGUUGACCUGCAUGAAUGAUGUAACGACUUCCCCACUGUCUCCAAAAUUGACUCAGUGAAAUUGCAAUUUCCGUGAAGAUGCGGAAUAUUUGUUGCUAGACGGAAAGACCCUGUGCACCUUUACUAUAGUUUAUACAGUGGUUAGAGAUUUUAAAUGUGUAGGAUAGUUAAGAGUUUAUGAUCCUUUAACUCUAGUUAAUUGGGGAGACACCCUUGAAAUAUUAACCUUUUAAUAUUUUUAACCUAACUUAUAGAAGAACAUUGUAUAAUGGGUAGUUUAACUGGGGCGGUUGCCUCCGAAAGAGUAA
rnacentral:rRNA from 1 species